AGCAUUGUGCAGUGGCAAUAUCGUAGCCAAUGAGGUUUACCUGAGGCGUGAUUAUUGCUAAUUGGAAAAAAAAAAAA
rnacentral:snRNA from 1 species